GACGAACGCUGGCGGCGUGCCUAAUACAUGCAAGUAGAACGCAGUUGCGAACGGGUGAGUAAUGCGUAGGUAACUGCCUCAGAGCGGGGGAUAACUAUUGGACACGAUACCUAAUACUGCAUAUUGUAAGAUGGACCUGCGUUGUAUUAGCUAGUGGGUGAGUAAAAGGCACACCAAGGCGACGAUACAUAGCCGACCUGAGAGGGAGAUCGGACACAAUGGAACAGAGACACGGCCCCGACUCGUUCGGGAGGCCGCAGUAAGGAAUCUUCGGCAAUGGACGGCAGUCUGACCGAGCAAAGCCGCGUGAGUGAAGAAGGUUUUCGGAUCGUAAAGCUCUGUUAUUAGAGAAGCGGUAACUAGCCAGAAAGGGAAGGCUAACUACGUGCCAGCAGCCACGGUAAUAC
rnacentral:rRNA from 1 species